ACACAUGCAAGUCGAACGAGAAUCUACUGAAGGAGGAUUCGUCCAACGGAAGUAGAGGAAAGUGGCGGACGGGUGAGUAACGCGUGAGGAACCUGCCUUGAAGAGGGGGACAACAGUUGGAAACGACUGCUAAUACCGCAUGAUGCAUAGGGGUCGCAUGAUCUUUAUGCCAAAGAUUUAUCGCUUCAAGAUGGCCUCGCGUCUGAUUAGCUGGUUGGCGGGGUAACGGCCCACCAAGGCGACGAUCAGUAGCCGGACUGAGAGGUUGAACGGCCACAUUGGGACUGAGAUACGGCCCAGACUCCUACGGGAGGCAGCAGUGGGGAAUAUUGGGCAAUGGGCGCAAGCCUGACCCAGCAACGCCGCGUGAAGGAAGAAGGCUUUCGGGUUGUAAACUUCUUUUAAGAGGGAAGAGCAGAAGACGGUACCUCUAGAAUAAGCCACGGCUAACUACGUGCCAGCAGCCGCGGUAAUACGUAGGUGGCAAGCGUUGUCCGGAUUUACUGGGUGUAAAGGGCGUGCAGCCGGGUCUGCAAGUCAGAUGUGAAAUCCAUGGGCUCAACCCAUGAACUGCAUUUGAAACUGUAGAUCUUGAGUGUCGGAGGGGCAAUCGGAAUUCCUAGUGUAGCGGUGAAAUGCGUAGAUAUUAGGAGGAACACCAGUGGCGAAGGCGGAUUGCUGGACGAUAACUGACGGUGAGGCGCGAAAGUGUGGGGAGCAAACAGGAUUAGAUACCCUGGUAGUCCACACUGUAAACGAUGAAUACUAGGUGUACGGGGACUGACCCCCUGCGUGCCGCAGUAAACACAAUAAGUAUUCCACCUGGGGAGUACGAUCGCA
rnacentral:rRNA from 1 species